rnacentral:rRNA from 1 species
AGUGCUUAACACAUGCAAGUCGAACGGAAAGGCCUGCUUGCAGGGUACUCGAGUGGCGAACGGGUGAGUAACACGUGGGUGAUCUGCCCUGCACUUCGGGAUAAGCUUGGGAAACUGGGUCUAAUACCGGAUAGGAACCAUCUUUAGUGUGGUGGUUGGAAAGUUUUUUCGGUGUAGGAUGAACUCGCGGCCUAUCAGCUUGUUGGUGGGGUAAUGGCCUACCAAGGCGGCGACGGGUAGCCGGCCUGAGAGGGUGUACGGCCACAUUGGGACUGAGAUACGGCCCAGACUCCUACGGGAGGCAGCAGUGGGGAAUAUUGCACAAUGGGCGCAAGCCUGAUGCAGCGACGCCGCGUGGGGGAUGAAGGCCUUCGGGUUGUAAACUCCUUUCGCUAGGGACGAAGCUUUUUGUGACGGUACCUAGAUAAGAAGCACCGGCUAACUACGUGCCAGCAGCCGCGGUAAUACGUAGGGUGCGAGCGUUGUCCGGAAUUACUGGGCGUAAAGGGCUCGUAGGUGGUUUGUCGCGUCGUCUGUGAAAUUCUGGGGCUUACUCCGGGCGUGCAGGCGAUACGGGCAUAACUUGAGUGCUGUAGGGGUAACUGGAAUUCCUGGUGUAGCGGUGAAAUGCGCAGAUAUCAGGAGGAACACCGAUGGCGAAGGCAGGUUACUGGGCAGUUACUGACGCUGAGGAGCGAAAGCAUGGGUA